AAGUUGUGAUGAGGGCAAGAAUGCAACAGAGUUUUGAAACGGUCCUAAUACUCAUGGAACAACUCUCCAUCAUUUUGCACAAUUGACAUGAUUUCAUUCCUAAGCUU